UAUGGUAUUUAAAAUAUUUGAUUUUUGCAGUGAAACAUAACCAUUUCUAGAAGUGACCUUUGAGGUCUCCAAGAAGAUGAUGGUGCCCUACAACAAUGAAUCCACCUGGAUUGUGGUAAUUCCACUAAGCUAGCUGCCAGACAACACCCAAAGAUCAUCUUUGAACUACAAACUGCUCAGGACAACUUCAAAGUGGUUAGUUGAGAUGGUCCUGCCUCAAGACUAUUCUAUCAAGAUGCCCAGGUUACCUAAAGGUGUCAUCAGCCCAAGACAAUAAGAAGCAAUUUUAAGAACACGAUUCCCACAUUCACUGGAGACUUUUGAUUUUAAGAUAAACUAGACUACUGGAUAGCGUACUCCAACAAAAUGGGAAGUGAAGAACAUUAAAAUAAGAAAAAUGGAAAAAUGAGAUCCAGGAAACAGCAGUCUUAUGCAUAAGAAAACAGAAGGAAUUCCUGGAAUGAUGGCAAAGCAGAGUCCUAGGGUGAUGGACAGUGUUUGGCUGAUGUGCAAGAUGCCAAGUAGAAGAAGAAUGAAAAUCUCAGGAAGGCCUCCAGGGAAAAAUGGUGGUUUUUAAUCAUGCUAGCCUUUGGAAUGAUGAAAUUUAUGAAAUAGUGUGGGAAAUUUAUGAAAAUCAUGCAAGAAUUAGCAAUAGUAAAACAAAGGCAAACCCCUCCCCCAAACAGCAAUUAUAUGCUUCAGAGAAAACAAAACAAAAAUAAAAUGAAGUAUAGUCAAAAUGUCUCAUGAUUAUCAGUUUAGAAUGACAUUUACACAGAUUAAAUAUCAUGGUCAUUUAGACUUACUUUAACUAAAGGCAUCAUUGUAAAAUGAGGCAAUGGGCUGCAUAAGGAAAGGGGGAAGUUUGGAACAAGCUGUUAUUUUUGUCAUUAUAGAUCAAGAGUCAGUGGCCUAGCCUGAUCUGCUUAAAGAAACAUAUGCACAUUAAGGAAUUUAUAUUCUAAAGAAAAAGUAAGCAUAAAGACUAAAAGUAGUGAUAGAUGAUAGGAAUAGGAAGAGAGAGGAGGCAAUUAGAUGAUAUGAAUAUAUUUUGUCCCUCUGAUACUUAUGUCCACAUUUAAAUCCAUUAGGAAAACUUUAAGUUGGUAGGGCUAUGCUCAUGAGUGUGUGUGUGUGUGUACAUAAUUUUUUAUUUGGGAUAUGUGUAUGUUCAUGGGGGAAUGAAUGUGCCUAGGUAUACAUGUGAAGGUCAGAGGACAAAUUUUGAGAAUAAGUUCUCUCCCAUUAGAUGGGGGUUAUGGUGAUAACUCAGGUCAUCAGGCUAGGUGGUAAUUUCCUUUACUCACUGAGAUAUCUCACUGCCAUACUCAUAUUAACGGGCCAAUGGGAAUCUCUAGAGAAGAUCUGCCAUAAAAGUUAUUUUGGCUAGUUCUCUCUGAAGAGUUUCUGCACCCUGAUAAACCUCUCCAUUGAUGCAGUAAUCCAAAUCAGACCAAAUCAUACCAAAUUAGAAAAAGGUCCUCAUUUAAUGGGUAAAAUGCUCCCAGAUGAUUCCUCCUCAACUCCCCCAAGAGAGGAGACAGGAAAGAGAGACUGAAAAACCCUUGUCUGUUUUUAUUGGGGGGGGGAAUUUAAAUACCCCGUGGGAGUGGUCCUAGGUAUCCCUGUGGGAGCCGCCCUGUUUGACAGGCUUUCUGGAAUGGGAUAAGGUUUGGAUAGAGAGAUGGGGGAGGGUUAUUGAGGUGAAACUUCCAUCAGAACAUUACAGACUCUUUGGGUAUAUGGAUGCCAGGAGCUGAGGUGGAGAUUUCUUUAAUUUUCUUUAAUCUACAUGCAAUGCCUUAUAUUCCUCAUGUCUCUGCUAGCAAGAAGGUCAUUAGCACGCAUGAGCCCUUGGCUUGGGCAGAAACAUGUACCCAAAUUAAUGUUUUAAUUUAUAACUUUUUUAUUCUAUGACAUUAUGUCAUAAGCAGCAGAAACCAGACUAAGACAAAGGCUUUCUCUCUUUUAUAAAUUAUGUAGCCAGGUGGUGGUGGCAUAUGCCUUUAAUCCCAGCACUUGAGAGGUAGAGGUAGAUGGAUCUCUGUGAGUUUGAGACCAACCUCAAACUACAAGAGCUAGUUCCAGGACAGCCUCCAAAGCCACAGAGAAACCCUGUCUCGAAAAACCAAAAAAAAUUAUGUAUACGUUCCAUUUUCAUGAACAUACACAUUAACUUAAUCAAGUAAAGUAAAAUAUAUUAAAUUAGAAAUACUAUUUAAAGCCGGACAUUGGUGGCGCACACCUUUAAUCCCAGCACUCGGGAGG